GCCGCAGCCAUGAUUAUGCUCAGGCUUCAGAAGAGGCUUGCCUCUAGCGUCCUCCGCCGUGGCAUUUAGAAGAAGGUCUGCUUGGACCCCAGUGAGACUAACGAAACUGCCAACGCCAGCUCGCGUCAGCCGAGCCGGAAGCUGAUCAAAGACGGGCGCAUCAUGCGCAAGCCCGUGACUGUCCAUUCUCCAGCUCGGUGCCGGAAACGCACCGCGGCUCGCCGGAAGGGCGGGCAGAGGGGCACAGGUGAGCGAGAGGGUACAUACACAGCCAAGGCUCGAAGGCCUGAGAAGGUGACCCAGGUGAGGAGGAGGAGGAUUCUGCGCCGGCUCCUGAGGAGAUACCGUGAGUCUAAGAAGACUGACCGCCACAUGCGUCACGGCCUGUACCUGAAGGUGUAAGGGGAACGUGUUCAAAAACAAGCGGGUUCUCACGGAACACAUCCACGGGCCGAAGGCAGACAAGGCCCGCGCAAGAAGCUCCUGGCUGACCAGGCUGAGGCCUGCAGGUCUAAGACCAAGGAAGCACGCAAGUGCCGUGAAGAGCGCCUCCAGGCCAAGGAGCAGGAGAUCAUCAAGACUCUGUCCAAAGAGGAAGAGACGAAGAAGUAAAACUCCUCUCUCUUGUCUGUACAUAGUGGCCUGGGUCAUAACAUGUGAACUAUUUGAAUAAAACAAGCCUUUGUCUGCUUAAAAAUAAAUAAAUAAAUAAAUAAAUAAACAGACACAUAAUAUAUGUCAAGUAAUGAUAAGUGCUCUGUGGAAAAGUAAGACUGAGGAAGAUGACAGAGAAUAAGAAUACGCAUGGUGGUGGUGGUGGGGUUCCUAUUUCAGAAAGGACAGACAGGCAUGGAUGGGAUGACACUUUCCUAGAGACUGGAAUAAAGUGAGAGAGCAAGCUGUGCGGAUAUCUGCGGAGGAGCACCCCAGAGGAGGAGGGAACAGUCAGCGCCAAGUC